AUACAUGCAAGUCGAGCGAGCGGAACCACAGAUUUACUUCGGUAAUGACGUUGGGAAAGCGAGCGGCGGAUGGGUGAGUAACACGUGGGGAACCUGCCCCUAAGUCUGGGAUACCAUUUGGAAACAGGUGCUAAUACCGGAUAAUAAAGCAGAUCGCAUGAUCAGCUUUUGAAAGGCGGCGUAAGCUGUCGCUAAGGGAUGGCCCCGCGGUGCAUUAGCUAGUUGGUAAGGUAACGGCUUACCAAGGCGACGAUGCAUAGCCGAGUUGAGAGACUGAUCGGCCACAUUGGGACUGAGACACGGCCCAAACUCCUACGGGAGGCAGCAGUAGGGAAUCUUCCACAAUGGACGCAAGUCUGAUGGAGCAACGCCGCGUGAGUGAAGAAGGUUUUCGGAUCGUAAAGCUCUGUUGUUGGUGAAGAAGGAUAGAGGUAGUAACUGGCCUUUAUUUGACGGUAAUCAACCAGAAAGUCACGGCUAACUACGUGCCAGCAGCCGCGGUAAUACGUAGGUGGCAAGCGUUGUCCGGAUUUAUUGGGCGUAAAGCGAGCGCAGGCGGUUUCUUAGGUCUGAUGUGAAAGCCUUCGGCUUAACCGGAGAAGUGCAUCGGAAACCAGGAGACUUGAGUGCAGAAGAGGACAGUGGAACUCCAUGUGUAGCGGUGAAAUGCGUAGAUAUAUGGAAGAACACCAGUGGCGAAGGCGGCUGUCUGGUCUGUAACUGACGCUGAGGCUCGAAAGCAUGGGUAGCGAACAGGAUUAGAUACCCUGGUAGUCCAUGCCGUAAACGAUGAGUGCUAAGUGUUG
rnacentral:rRNA from 1 species